rnacentral:misc_RNA from 1 species
UUGUUAUACCAGUACCCGCGGAUCAAAUUACAAAGUGAUAAAGGAAAUCAUUGUCAUCUCUUCGGAGAGAAAAAAGAAAAAAAGCAGCAAGCUUAGAUACUUCCCCACUCGGGGAACCAUCUCAAAAAGUGAGGAGGGUAUUAUUUACCCCCAAUCUUGAGGGAGAAGGUAAAAGAAAUAGAGAAAGAAGAAGAGUAGCAGGGAUGUGCCCUGGCAUCCAGGGAUUUUACGUAUGGCUAUGGCGUUAAAUGUGUGAGCAACUCAGGCAAAUAAAGAGUGAAAUAAGAGAAAUGAAAGAUGAUUUUAAUGUAAAAAGUAAAUAAAAUAAAGUAUGAUUAAAUCUA